rnacentral:rRNA from 1 species
GAUUAACGCUGGCGGCAUGCCUAAUACAUGCAAGUCGAAUGGAUAGCUUGCUAUCCAUGGCGAACGGGUGAGUAACACGUAGGUAACCUGCCUUUAAGACGAGGAUAACCUUUGGAAACGAAGGAUAAUACUGGAUAGGACGUUAAAGAUCGCAUGAUUAAACGUUUAAAGAUAUAUCGCUUAAAGAGGGGCCUGCGGCGCAUUAGCUAGUUGGUAGGGUAAGAGCCUACCAAGGCGAUGAUGCGUAGCCGGACUGAGAGGUUGAACGGCCACAAUGGGACUGAGAACGGCCCAUACUCCUACGGGAGGCAGCAGUAGGGAAUUUUCGGCAAUGGGCGAAAGCCUGACCGAGCAAUGCCGCGUGAACGAAGAAGUAUUUCGGUAUGUAAAGUUCUUUUAUUGGGGAAGAAAAAGUUAGAAUUGACGGUACCCAAUGAAUAAGCUCCGGCUAACUACGUGCCAGCAGCCGCGGUAAUACGUAGGGAGCGAGCGUUAUCCGGAAUUAUUGGGCGUAAAGGGUGCGUAGACGGCAAGAAAAGUCAGUUGUUAAAAUGCUAGGCUCAACCUAGUAAAGCAACUGAAACUAACUAGCUAGAGUAUGGAAGAGGCAAGUGGAACUCCAUGUGUAGCGGUAAAAUGCGUAAAUAUAUGGAAGAACACCAGUGGCGAAGGCGGCUUGCUAGGCCAAUACUGACGUUGAGGCACGAAAGCGUGGGGAGCAAACAGGAUUAGAUACCCUGGUAGUCCACGCCCUAAACGAUGAGUACUAAGUGUUGGAGGAAUUCAGCGCUGAAGUUAACGCAUUAAGUACUCCGCCUGAGUAGUACGUACGCAAGUAUGAAACUUAAAGGAAUUGACGGGAGCCCGCACAAGCGGUGGAGCAUGUGGUUUAAUUCGAAGCAACGCGAAGAACCUUACCUGAUCUUGACAUCCUUCUGACCAUCCUCUGUAAUGGAGGACUUCCUUCGGGACAGAAGAGACAGGUGGUGCAUGGUUGUCGUCAGCUCGUGUCGUGAGAUGUUGGGUUAAGUCCCGCAACGAGCGCAACCCUUGUCCUUAGUUGCCAGCGGUCCGGCCGGGCACUCUAGGGAGACUGCCAGGGACAACCUGGAGGAAGGUGGGGACGACGUCAAAUCAUCAUGCCCCUUAUGACCAGGGCUACACACGUGCUACAAUGGCGUAAACAAAGAGAAGCGAACCCGUGAGGGGGAGCCAACCUCAAAAAUAACGUCUCAGUUCGGACUGUAGUCUGCAACCCGACUACACGAAGCUGGAAUCGCUAGUAAUCGCGAAUCAGAAUGUCGCGGUGAAUACGUUCCCGGGUCUUGUACACACCGCCCGUCACACCAUGGGAGUCGGAAAUGCCCGAAGUACGUGACUUAACCGUAAGGAGAGAGCGUCCGAAGGUGGAGCCGAUGACUGGGGUGA